AUUGAACGCUGGCGGCAGGCCUAACACAUGCAAGUCGAGCGGAGCGGCGGAAGGGGGAGUAAUGUCUGGGAAACUGCCUGGUGGAGGGGGAUAACUACUGGAAACGGUAGCUAAUAACGAAUACUAUCAGAUGAGCCGAGGUCGGAUUAGCUAUUUGGUGGGGGAAAGGCCUACCAAGGCGACGAUCCGUAACUGGUCUGAGAGGAUGAACAGUCACACUGGAACGGAGACACGGUCCAGAGUCCUACGGGAGGCAGCAGUGGGGAAUAUUGGACAAUGGGGGAAAGCCUGAUCCAGCCAUGCCGCGUGUGUGAAGAAGGUCUUCGGAUUGUAAAGCACUUUAAGUUGGGCGGCGUUACCAACAGAAUAAGCACCGGCUAACUUCGUGCCAGCCGCCGCGGUAAUAC
rnacentral:rRNA from 1 species